rnacentral:rRNA from 1 species
CCCUUAGAUGUUCUGGGCCGCACACGCGCUACACUGAAGGAGGCAGCGUGUACUCCUGGAUCGAAAGAUUUGGGUAACCCGCGAAUCUCCUUCGUGCUAGGGAUUGAGGUUUGCAAUUAUCCUUCAUGAACGAGGAAUUCCCAGUAAGUGCAAGUCAUAAGCUUGCGCUGACUACGUCCCUUCCCUUUGUACACACCGCCCGUCGCUACUACCGAUUGAAUGAUUUAGUGAGGACUUCGGACUGGGACCGAUGCGGCUUUCGGGCUGCGUCGGUAUUCUGGAAAGAUGUCCAAACUGUAUCAUUUAGAGGAAGUAAAAGUCGUAACA